UCCCGUUUAGCUCAGUUGGUAGAGCGCGUCACUAGUAAUGACGAGGUCAGUCGUUCAAAUCGGCUAAUGGGAA
rfam:Amanita muscaria Koide BX008 unplaced genomic scaffold scaffold_21, whole genome shotgun sequence.